rnacentral:RNase_P_RNA from 1 species
CAGGAAAAUCGGUCUGUUGAUUUCCGAUUUUUUCGGGAGUAGGAAAGUCCGGACACCGUAGAGCAGCAUAGCGGAUAACAUCCGUCGGUCGCAAGAUUAGGACAAGUGCAACAGAAAGCAAGUACAGUUUGGCUGUAGUGAAACCAGGUAAACUCUAUGCGGUGCAAUGCUAAGUAUAUCAUCAGUUAAGGGCGGCUCGUCCGUUGAUGAGGGGUAAGCAGCUAAAGUUUUGUAGCAAUGUAAAACGCAGAUAAAUAACAGACACCCCGAUUUAUCGGGAUACAGAAUCCGGCUUAUAGAUUUUCCUGUUUU